rnacentral:misc_RNA from 1 species
UUCCUCACGGUCAUCGGGCCGCCAGACGCGAAAGCCAUCGCGACGCCAAACGUCGUUCCAGUGAGAUUUGCGACUACAGUCGUGGGCGAAUAAAGGUCGAUGACCCCUUGCCCCCAUAGUAUUCCGCAUCCCAGAGCCCGAGCAAGGAAACGUGGGUCGCAACACAUCUGCACUUUGGGCGUGUUGAGGAACAUGAUUCUCGCUUCGAGGUUCACCCGAKGUYGUGCUGUUAAAACAAAACGAUCUAGGCGAACGAGAAAGAUUGACAAUCGAAUUCCAUCUAAGCAGGUACACAAUUCAGGAAGCCAAUUGUACGGCCAAGGCUAUACAACACUUGUGCCUAUAAAUGAAGSGARCUARCAYGGUUGGACGUCCCUGCCCAAGACAGGGA